rnacentral:tRNA from 1 species
GGGGUUGUAGCUCAGUGGUAGAGAGCUCACCUAGCAUGUGCGAGGCCCUGGGUUCAAUCUUCAGCACCACA